AUACGUAGGGUGCGAGCGUUGUCCGGAAUUACUGGGCGUAAAGAGCUCGUAGGUGGUUUGUCGCGUCGUCUGUGAAAUUCCGGGGCUUAACUCCGGGCGUGCAGGCGAUACGGGCAUAACUUGAGUACUGUAGGGGAGACUGGAAUUCCUGGUGUAGCGGUGAAAUGCGCAGAUAUCAGGAGGAACACCGGUGGCGAAGGCGGGUCUCGGGGCAGUAACUGGCGCUGAGGAGCGAAAGCAUGGGUAGCGAACAGGAUUAGAUCCCCUGGUAGUCCAUGCCGUAAACGGUGGGCGCUAGGUGUAGGGGUCUUCCACGAUUUCUGUGCCGUAGCUAACGCAUUAAGCGCCCCGCCUGGGGAGUACGGCCGCAAGGCUAAAACUCAAAGGAAUUGACGGGG
rnacentral:rRNA from 1 species